rnacentral:tmRNA from 1 species
GGGGACGCAAUGGUCUCGACGUGGUAAGCUGGGGCAUGAAUAGCGAGCCGGGGGGUCAUCAACCCGUUAGUAAGGUGAAACUUUUAUUAAAUAUAAAAGCUAACGAAGACUACGCUUUAGCCGCUUGAGGCUAACCCCUGUCCCGUCCUCUCCCGCGGGAUGAGAUAAGGGGUCAAUUGCGGGAUACCUGAGGGUCAAUUCUCGGAGAUCUCUCAGGGAACUUCAUCGAGAUCGGUGCGCUGCAGCCUGCCCGUAGGCGGUGGCAAGCCUAAAUAAAAAUACGAGGCUGCGCUCGGAGAAGUUCGUGUGACACUUGCUGCGGACAGGAGUUCGAUUCUCCUCGUCUCCACCA